rnacentral:lncRNA from 1 species
AGAACGUGACAAAAAUUUGUUUCAAAAGGAAAUAAACUCAGAGUCGCCACCUGACAUUUGAUUUCGGGGAGAAGGUGUUAAGCACUCCCCAAGUCCCGUGAAGGUCACAGUUGCAUACUCGAUCAAGUUGGCUUUUAAGAUAUUCAAAUUGAGGUAAAAGCACACAAAAAGAAAAUAAACAGUCAAAAGAGGCUCGAGGGCACCAGAGAUUGGGGUAAGGGGCUCAUUUGACUCGCGGAGAAGGUGUUAAGCACUCCCCAAGUCCCGUGAAGGUCACAGUUGCAUACUCGAUCAAGUUGGCUUUUAAGAUAUUCAAAUUGAGGUAAAAGCACACAAAAGGAAUAUAAACAGUCAAAAGAGGCUCGAGGUCGUCCCCACCUAACAAAACGAAAAUAAAAUACUAUUCUAUGCUUCCUCGAACCGUUCCGUCUUCGGCUUUCAAAUAUAAAUACUUUGGGGCAAUACCCCAGAUAA